UUAAGUAACUCAUUAUUGAGCCCUUUUUUUUCCUCUCCUUCCCAAGAAACAUAAACAGGAAGAAGAAAGGGAAGAGUCACCAGCCAUCCUAAACAUGACUGUCCUAGCAGAGCUGUCCACAGUCUGUUCACUUACUAGCCCUGUGACCUAUGCUUGUGGAUACUAUAAAGCUGCUUCAUCUCAAUCAUUUCGAAUGAUUAUUUUCUUCCACCCCAGCUUGAUACCUACUUACACUACUUACCAAAGUAUCUCUCAGUGUGACUUUCACUCUGGUUUUAAAUUUUUAUGGCAUUUUUCUGGCACAACUGUAUUUCUCUCUGGGUAAAUGGCUCAAGCAAAGCAUGCUUUCAUCUCCCCUGAGGGCUGCUCUGAUUGAGCUCCAGCAUUGCCAGGUAAGGAUCAGUUGAUAUAUUGAGAGCCUGUUGGAUAAUAUCUAUUUUAAAUGAUUUCUCUUUUUAACUUGUGCUCUAUUCUUCUGUUAUUAAAAAUAGCUGGAAAUACUGAAGCCUAUUUCUGCCCUUAAGGUUUCUGAGUGGCAUGGCUCCAUUACUCUGUUUUAUCAUCAUAAUAUUUUGCUCAUAAAGAGUCAUUUCUUUUUUUCUUUUUUUUUUUUUAACGUUUAUUUAUUAUUGAGAGACAGAGAGAG